AGCCGAAGCCGGCCCUGCCGCCGCCGGAGCAGCCGCCGCCGGAGCAGCCCCGCCCGAGCCGAAGUCGGCCCUGCCGCCGCCGGAGCAGCCCCGCCGGAGCAGCCGCCGCCGGAGCAGCCCCGCCGGAGCAGCCCCCGCCCGAGCCGAAGCCGGCCCUGCCGCCGCCGGAGCAGCCGCCGCCGGAGCAGCCGCCGCCGGAGCAGCCCCGCCGGAGCAGCCCCCGCCCGAGCCGAAAAGCCGUCCGAGCCGAAGCCGGCCAAGCAGAAGCCGGCGCUGCCGCUGCCGGAGCAGCCCCCGGCCGAGCCGAAGCCGGCCAAGCAGAAGCCGGCGCUGCCGCCUCCCGAGCAGCCGCCGCCGGAGCAGCCGCCUCCCGAGCAGCCGCCGCCGGAGCAGCCGCCGCCCGAGCCGAAGCCGGCCGAGCAGAAGACCACCCAUCCUCAGUGUGUUGAACUGCGAGUCUUCUACGCUGGUUUUCAACGAAUACUUGCUCCAUCUGGCUUGANGAUGUCAAAGUAGAGUUUAAACCAGUCAUCAUGAAAAUUACUGAUAAACCUGACACAGGAAGGUAAAUUUCCAACUGCAAAGUUUAUAGCCAUAUAGAUUCACUAGUUUGUCAGGUAAGUAAAAAUUAUGAAAAGACUUGUGUGGACCCAUUUCUCAGGUCCACCUUUAAUGUACCUUGCAGUGUGGACUGGAAAGUCCACCCAUGAAACUUGAUUAAUUAUACUGACUAUAAUGGUCAAUUAUACCUCUAUGUUGAUGCUAUGGUAAACAGGCUGUCUGGGAGUAUCUAUUGAGAAGAAGACAGUAUAUAAGAAACCUAAACCAGCCAAUUCUGCUUGUCCUUAGAAAUUAGACUACCUAUCUGGACAAUUGUCAUGAAGAUUAUUAAAACAGAAUUUUCCUAUACAGGCAAGUUAUUUACAUAAAAUAUCCACCAAUGUAUUAUUGUCUUAAUCAUUCUACAAUAGAAGUUGACACCUUUUCUAAGUGGAUAGAUUAUGCAAAUGUCUUGUCAACACAACACAAGAUGUCUAGAAAUAAUGGAUAUAUUAGGUUAGUCUCCUAAAAUGGACAAGAACAAUUACAUGAGGAUGCUGUAAUUCUUAGAAUCUCUAACCCUCAGAAAGAUGACACCCAAAAGGAUGUUUUGAUGUUUGACUUCUACCUUCAGAAGAUUACAUUACUGAUAACCUAAUAAACUCCUUAAAUGUGAGAAUUAAGAGAAAAGAUGAUGAAUAUCCUGUAGCCUGCAAGAAUACAACUUAUCUUAUUGAAUCACUAGUUAUUGCCAGCUAAUAUUUCAGAGCUAUAAUAUGCUGAAGUUAAUGUACAGACUUUGAAACAGGUGCAUGUCAAUUAGCCAGACCUAGGCAAGCUGCUGGUCUCAUCAACCUUGAAGUGACUACUUUAAAUAUUAUUCCUAGCUUCCACAAUUACAGCCUUUAUGGCUAUAUCUUAAAACUUACUGUGGGUAACCAUUCUCGCACGUGAUUGGGCACCUCCCGGAUUGGGUGUGAGGUGUUCUGGCCAAACUGUGUCAGAGCUUUCCCCACCCUCUCCAGGUGCGAGAGCCUGUCCACGUGGGGAUGUGACUGACCACUGACCCUGAGGCCAAUCACUGACCCUGACCUUGGAAUGCUGCCCCCUUGACCUUCAUUGGAUGGAAUUUUCCCCUGAAUUUCUUGUUCCCCAAUAAAAGGCCACUCCCUGGCAUGCUCUCUCUCUCUCCUGCGAGCCCUGAGUAAGCCUUGCUGCCCCACCGGGUGGUUUGAGGUGUGAGCCAGAGAGGUGAGUGCCGUCUCGGACCUGGUCAUAGAAAAAGGUAAUUGAGUCUGUGUGUUUUAUUUUGAUCUCACUAGUUAACUUCUAUGCCAGGAACCUCUUUAAUGAAACCAGUGUACUGGUCGCCUGGUGGAACUUACAACAGAUAGACUUUCUUAAUUUGACUUAAGUUACUUCAAAGAUCCUUCAUAGUCAGAUAAGUGCAGAUGGAAGGAUGAGGCUAAAUUAAAAUGCUCUAAAAGACAAUGUAAUAAAUAUUGUGAAUGAGCCCUCUGCUCUAUGGUUUGUGGAAAGGCUUAUAUGCCAUGGCAAAUAAAAAUGUCUGUGUUACUAUGGCCAAAUGCAAUGCGUCCCAAUAAAGUUGGGAAAAGAUUAAGAAUCUUCUGAUGAGAGUUUGGCAAAGUAAUAAUAAUAACCUGGAUCUUCCAAGUUAUUGUGUUAUUGAAAUGAUAUGUUUUCUACAAAUUCCUUUUGUGUUUCAAUAGUAGAUCAUAAUGACCUUGGAAGAAGAAUCCAGUGACUAAGAGAUAUAAUUCCCAAUUGCCUUUAAAUAUUAAGAAAGGGGGAAUAUGUGGGGAGCCACUCUGAAUGAUUCAUGCCUUCCAUCCUGAAGCAAGAGACUUUGACAGGUCACUGCAUUUCACAUUGUCCCAGUCCAGGAAGUUGAGGGCCUGUUUUUAAACUUAGGCAGUCACCGAUGGAGUUGAGCUAUACUCACCUAUUGCUUUGUAAUACUAUGCCUUUUCCCUGUUUGGAUUGAAUGUUCCAUGAAAUCACCCUUUGAGUGUCCCCUUCUCUUGCUCUGCCUUUGGGUGUGGCCUUCCUAGAUGUCAGUCAACCUGCUGACAGCAGACAUCAGGAAGCUAGACUCAACCCCCUGAAACCUGACACCUUGCCUUAUUUGAAUGGCUUCUCCUUAAUAAAAUGGUUCUUUCAGCACAUGCUCUCUCUCUCUCUUUUCCUGCAGACCCUUAAGUUCAGAAGAGCCGUCACAGGACCCCAAAGAAAAAGGUAUCUUUGUCUCUUGUGUGAUGAUUUCAUGCAGCCCAGUUCCCCUGGAGUGACCCUGAAUGUUUUAGUCAUGAGGAACAUGACAUUCUGGGGUGAAUCUCACUUGGUCCUAGUAUAUAAUUUAGUGAAUGUUCUGUUGAAUUUGCUCUACCAGUAUUUUGUUAAGGAUUUUUGUGGCUGCAGACAUGAGGUAUAUUGGUCUGUAUCUAUAGUUUUUGUUGUGGUUUUUGUAAUACUAUAGAAAAUUUACAGUCUGGCCUAUUUGAAGGUCAUCCAAGUUGUGUUUAGAAUGCUGCUUCUCAGACAGGAAAGCGAAAGCUGAGCAGAAGUCCCACCAUAAUUCUUUUCUGUGAACCUGAACCUGCUCUUCCUUGCUGCUCCAGGGAUGGACCCACACAUUGACCAAUCACUGUGGGAGGCCAGGCCUUAGCACUCAGCCUGUCACCUGGUACCAUUAGUCCUGGACCAAAUCCUGUGUGGAAAAGCCACAGCAGUUCUCACUUGCAUUCAUUGCAGAUUUUCAUCAUUGAUGUGUCCUCUAUCAAAUGAGGUCCUCUAUAGAGACACCCUGAACACACCAGUGUGUUUAUGUAACAGCUUCCUUGACUUCCCUCCUUGUGGCACAGAUAGACACACCUCAGCAGCCGCAGGGUUCCUUGGUGGGUAGGGAGCAGAUGUGGCCAUCUACCCCCUCUACAUGGAAGUUACUGAGAGCUCUAGUUCUGGGCAUUUCCAACAGUGCUGGCAGGAUAAGUACCUAGUUUUGGACAUGCUGGAUGAAGGAAGGGACACACGCUAAGGACUUGGAAGGGUGCUGCCAAACGAUUCUGAGGAUUAUCCAUGGCCACAUCUCUCAGGGGAUCUGCCCAGGCCUCUAUCUCCUGUCUUCUCACCAGGGCUGUUCAGCAGUAUUUUCAGUGAGACUCCAUCUCAAAAAAGGAAAUAACUGGAGAUGUGGCAUAGUGUUAAAGUGCCCCUGGGUUUAAUCCCUAGUACUUAAAUAAUACAAAACAAACAAAUAAAACAAAAAUAAGCAAAUAAUACAAAUCCUACAAAACUUAGGUCUACAUGGGAUUUACUGUUCCAAGCAAAUUCAAGUGUAAACAUUCAAGUGUAAACAGUCCCUUCCACUACUAUAUGGUCAAACAGAAGCUGGACUGCAGUGAUGUGAAAAACCCAGAGGAGGCAAACCCCAGGGAGAGAAUAAUGACUGUUCCCUGGAGACUAGCAGGAGGGAGAAGGGGAGGGAGUGGGUACGGGUACCAGAUACAAGACAAGGGAUGCAGUUAAGCCAAUAAGCUGAUGUUUUUUUUAAAAAUAGUCUUAAAUCUUAAAAUCAGGUAGUUUGAAGAAAAAUACAAAAAGAGGGAAAAGGCAGCUCUGGGGCCGAAAUGGGUGCAAGGGGGAGCUCAGUAGGUGGUGCAGAGGUGGGGCCACUAGGAGGUACAGGCCUGAAGUUGCUGUUGAAGGUGGUUCUGACCCUGGUGCUCUCUCAGGUGGUGGAGGUGGUAAUGUAAGUUGAGCUGGGGUUUCUUAUCUCUUCCUUUAUCCUAACUUAUAAUGUAUGCAUGUUUCUAAGUGCUUCAUUAUUCUUUUUGGCUUAUUGUUGAUAUUACCAUAAAAUAUGUGUACUCUUCUGUUCGGCACUAGUGUUGAGACUUACCAGCCUGAUGACAUGGAGCUAGAUAUUGAUAUUUUCUCCUGUGGGAUGUGUUUCCUAUUACUAAGCAAAUUUAUCUUUUCUCUAGCCAUUGAAGUUAAGAGCUUUUAUAAAUAUAUGUGUGUGUGUGUGUAUAUAUA
rnacentral:lncRNA from 1 species